rnacentral:lncRNA from 1 species
UUUUCUUACCACUAGAAAUGUGCUCAUUUUCGGUGCUUUUAUGUUUUAAUGUUUUAUUUCAAGAAAAUUUAUUGCAAUGUAUACGACGAUACAUUAAAUUGUAACCUGAUCACUGCCGUUUUAAAUGGAAGUAAAGCAGAAAUAACUGCUCAGAGAGUUUUUGACAAUUCUUUUGUGAAACUUCAGAGAAACACCUCAAGAAGCAUGAAUGAAAGUAAUAAUUUGCUUGCUACUUUUGCUGUGAGUACAGGAAGUAAAAAAAAAAAUGUUUAAUAUACAAAAUAUGCAACUUUCUCCUAGUUCUGAACUUCUGUAAGCUAGACCACACAAACAAAAAUAUUGCACAGAUUUGGUGGCAUGAACAUUAGCCUAGGUGACGCCCAUGCUAUGCGGGAAAGCCGUGGCUUCGCAAAUGUGAAGACGGGUAAGCACCUAUGGGUGCAGGGAGCACUUGUUUUUACUCAUAGCAGCAAGCACCUGGUCCCUUUUUUUACGGCAUUCUUUAGACUCUCGAAACUAUGGUUGUCAGGUUGGGGAGCACAAGUCUCCUAAUACACAAUUAUUGUGAUCAAUCAGCUUUUUUGUGCAAUCAAGCUGGUCUAGUCAUGCACCUUGAAUUGGCUUUGAAGCCUCUACGUGCUUUGUACAGUACUUGUACAGUACUGUACAAUAAUUUACAGGGUUGCACAGUAUUGUACCAUAAUAAAUAAGGGCUUUUGCACAGGCGGUGCUCUAAAAGUAAGAGAUUAGACUGCUAAUCAAGCUUCCGCCGAAAGCCAGUCUGAAAUCGACUGCAUGCUCUUGUGCGAGUGAAAACUCCACACAACGGGAAGGAUCCCACCUAAUUAUUUUUACAUAU